UUCCAAUACACCAGAAAAGCAUAUGGGAAGAGGGAUUUAAAACCAGCAAACAACCACUCAGUGAGAAGACAGAUUAACUCAUUUUAGACAUACCAACUCUCAGAAAGAUUUACCACCCACACAUCUUUUCUUAAUAAAUUGCUAGAAGAUACACAGCAUAAUAAAGGAGUAAAUCAAAAGAGAGAAAAAGACAGGAUUUAGGAAAUAGUGAAUCCUUGCCAAAAGUCUCGUAAACAAAAGUCCCAGAGCCAGUGUGAUAUAUAGAAUAAUUAAAAUGUUCUUGAUUACCAUUAUCAUUAAUCACCAUCAUUAGUACAUAAUAGCAAACAUUUAUUGUCCAUUACUGCAUCCAAGACACUGUUUUACAUGUUAGCUCAUUAAAUAUGCACACAUUCCUAUAAAGUAAAUACCACUGAGGGUAUGAAGCUAGCCUUCCCCGCCCACCCCCCAGAAAAAACAACUAACAAAUGGGGGCGAUACAUUGCCAACCUAGGCAGUCUGAUGCCAGAAACCACACUCUUACCAGCUAAGUUCCAUGAUGCCCUCAUCUACAUCAUCCAGCAGCUGGCAUGUUAUUUAGAUUCAUCAAAAGUCACCUAGGAUAAGGAAAAUAAGGCAAAAGGAAGUUAAAAGAGCUACCCAAGUUAUACAACUGGUUUCCCAGCAUUGUCCAGUUGAAACCAGUGAUCUCGAAGAAACAACAACAGAUUGCCUCUCAAGCCUUUCUUCAAACAAAAUCUUUAGAGAAACCAAAUACAAAGAUGUCAGAGUUUCAUGGAAGAGAAAAGGGCUUUAGUAGACUUUUCACCCCUUUGCCUGGUACCUAUGCCACCUGGAGCUGUUUCUGCACCUCCAACAACCUCCAGGACUUCAGAGCACAGGUCAAGAGAAAGCAACUCUCACUUCUCUCAGAGGUGGCCUGCUUAUCUUUAUCUUUUUUCAUGCAUGUGAGAGAGAUUUUGUCUUAGAUAUACCAAUACCUUUUAGCUUCCAUGUUCUAACAGGGCCAAUGAUAGCACUGCAGUAAGAAUGUCAUCUGCCUACACUCAGGCUCCAUUGCUUGAAGCAACUUCUGUUUUGGAUUUUGUAUUUCAGCCUUGCAUAUGACUGAGCUGUAAGAGCACUUAUUUUGCUGCUUGGCAUGUUGUUCAAUGGCUCUCCAGCAAUCAAUACCUAUCUGCUGGGAGUUAUUCAAGGCUUUGCCCCCUUUUGUUCUAUUUUUCCAUGCCUGGACCUUGAUGAGAUACAUGUUGUCCAAACUACACUACAUUGCUUAACCACAAGAAAGUAUUUUAUUCAUGAAGAGGCCUGUAUAAAAGCCAUGAAAUAAAAAUGUGAGUAAA